GACGAACGCUGGCGGCGUGCUUAACACAUGCAAGUCGAACGGAAAGGCCCCUUUGGGGGUACUCGAGUGGCGAACGGGUGAGUAACACGUGAGUAACCUGCCCUUGACUUCGGGAUAACUUCAGGAAACUGGGGCUAAUACCGGAUAGGAAUCCUUGCUGAAUGGUGGGGGUUGGAAAGCUUCGGCGGUUUUGGAUGGACUCGCGGCUUAUCAGCUUGUUGGUGGGGUAGUGGCUUACCAAGGCUUUGACGGGUAGCCGGCCUGAGAGGGCGACCGGCCACAUUGGGACUGAGAUACGGCCCAGACUCCUACGGGAGGCAGCAGUGGGGAAUAUUGCACAAUGGGCGGAAGCCUGAUGCAGCAACGCCGCGUGCGGGAUGACGGCCUUCGGGUUGUAAACCGCUUUCAGCAGGGGCGAAGCUUGUGGUGACGGUACCUGCAGAAGAAGCACCGGCUAACUACGUG
rnacentral:rRNA from 1 species